rnacentral:rRNA from 1 species
AACGUAGGUCACAAGCGUUGUCCGGAAUUACUGGGUGUAAAGGGAGCGCAGGCGGGAAGACAAGUUGGAAGUGAAAUCCAUGGGCUCAACCCAUGAACUGCUUUCAAAACUGUUUUUCUUGAGUAGUGCAGAGGUAGGCGGAAUUCCCGGUGUAGCGGUGGAAUGCGUAGAUAUCGGGAGGAACACCAGUGGCGAAGGCGGCCUACUGGGCACCAACUGACGCUGAGGCUCGAAAGUGUGGGCAGCAAACAGG